CAACCCACUCUCUGUGCUAUGACUUCAUUACUCUUUCCCAGCCCAGCCCUGGGCAAGCCCCUUACGAAGUCUCAGGCUACCUGGAUGACCACCCUUUCUUAUGAUGCUGCAAGGAGGGCAGGUGGGCAGAGCCCCGUGCAUCCUGGGCUCAGGCCAGGGACCCAAGAGCUUGGGAGAAGCUGGUUCUCAGACUGAAGGCCAGAGCCCAGCACCUUGUCACCAUCCCGGGGAGCAUCAUGGCACACAACAACCAGAGCCAAGGAGGCUACAGCUAGAGAGUUGACUCCUCUAUUUGAGAUUGACAGGCCUCGGAAGUCAAAAUAAGUGGUUUCCUAGACCGGGUCGAGAGCAAGUCUCUAUUGGUCCCAACUGAGUUUUUUCAGCUGGUUUUUCAACCAAACAGCACCUCAUCUCCCAGUGAGGGGAAGGGAAGGCUGGGCUGAGAGCAGCAAGGCUGCUCAUCUCACCUCUCCCCACCCAGCCAUGCCAGCCGCCUCACCUGGUGGGGAGAGGUGGGCCUCACCUGGGUCCCCUGGCAGUGCUCUGUGAAGGGUCUUGACAUUGCACUGUAAUAAUAAAGGUGUGUGUGAAGUAUC
rnacentral:lncRNA from 1 species